GUAGUAUUCCCUCCGUCCCAAAAAUGUUAUCUUACAUUUGUUUAGAUAUGGAUGUAUCUAACACUAAAAUGUAACUAGAUACAUCCGUAUUAGACAAAUUUAAGACAAGAAUUGUGGGAUGGAGGGAGUACAAA
rnacentral:pre_miRNA from 1 species